rnacentral:rRNA from 1 species
AUGGUGCCGAAGCUCUUUGAUUUCUUACAUGCAAAUCAUGAGCUUCGGAAGAACCUAAAGAAUGACAUCAUCUACAUCAAGCAUGAGUUUGCUAUGAUUUCUGCUGUCAUCAAGGAUGAUGAUAGCCGUGGUGGCUGCCGCAGCAGCAGUGAACAAGUGCAUACGGAGUGGAUCAAUAUUGUGCGUGAAUUGGCGCACGCCAUAGAAGACUGCAUCGACCGCUUCAUGCACAGUGUGACCAUGGCUGACUCGGAAAAAGGGAGGCUCAGCCGGGCUCUCCACCGGGUGAAGAUGGCGAAGACCCGCGGCAAGUUUGCUGCGGAGAUCCGGACGCUGAAGAAUAGAUCAGAAGAUGCUUCCAAGCUGAGAGAAAAAUACUGCAACAACAGCAGCAGCAGUUCCUCACCAAGGUGGUCGUUGUCGUCUGAGCAGACAGACGCGCCGACAGCGGUUCAGGAUGAUGACGAUGACAUCCAUUCAUCAGCUUCCAUCGCCGUUCCUGUGGGUAUCGACGGUCCCCGUGGCGAGCUUAUGGAUCUGAUCCAGCAGGAGCAGCAGCUUAAGGCAAUUGAGAGCCAAUAUGAAGUACGGGCUUGGGUCCAAGGGGGGAGGAGGACAGCAGCGGAUGUUCUCAAGGAGAUACUCAAGCAGCUUGGCCACCUUCCCCUGCCAACCAAUGGCAGUCUCACUCUCACCUUGCUUCACGCGAGCAUCAGAGAGUGCAUUGGCAACAAGAGGUUCUUUAUUGUAAUUGAUGACCUGCGGACAACAGCAUAUUGGCACAACAUGAAAGCAGCCUUUGUCGGUUUAAAUGGCAGAUUUCUGGUGACGACGGUCAUUCAGCCCGUAGCAAAUAUCUGUCGCAGCUCAUCUGUUAAUGAUCAUGUAUACACAAUGGCAACUCUUACCGACCAAGACUCAAGAAUAUUGUUCUUCAAGGAAGCUUUCCAAGACGAUGAACAGCCGCAGCAUGUGGAUGACCUCGGCUAUGCAGCGCUCAAGAAAUGUGAUGGUCUUCCCCUUGCUCUUGUUACCACCGCCAGGUUCUUGAAAAGCGCAGGUAAUCCAACACCCAUGAUAUGGGCAAAACUAUGCGCCAACCUGGGUACACAUAUGGAGAGUGAUGAUCUAUUUGCAAGAAUGAGGCGUGUGCUUGUCCAGAGCUACACCAGCCUUGAUAGCCAGGUUGCCAGGACAUUCUUGCUCUAUUUGAGUACCUACCCAAGUGGUCGUCCUAUCAAGAAAUCGAGCUUGUUAAGGAGAUGGUUAGCAGAAGGCUUGUCCCCAGGAGACAAUACAUAUAGUGAUGUUGAUGCCGCCAUUAGCAAUUUCAAUAAGCUUGUUGAUUGGAGCAUCAUCCAGCCAAUGGAAGCCAGCGGUAACAGCACAGAGGUGAAGACAUGUCAUACCCAUGGCAUGAUGCUGGAGUUCGUCCUGCGCAAGUCCAUGUCCGACAACUUCGUUACCGUGUUGUAUGAUGGGCAGUCUACCUCUCGCCUACCCAAUAAUAUCCGCCGGCUUGCUCUGCAUCAUGCAAGGCCAAGAGAAGUGCCAGGUUUAACUCUUGUUCGGUCACUGACAAUCUUGGGAGAGGCGCACCCAUCUGUCCUGGACUUCUCCAAGUAUGAACUGCUGCGAGUUUUGGAUCUGGAAAAGUGCGUUGUACCCUUGGAGGAUGGCCAUCUCAAGUUGAUAUGCAGAAAACUGUUGCUGCUGAGGUACCUAUGCCUCGGGGCUGCAGUUAUUGCCACGGUGCUUCCGAAGGAGAUCAGGAAGCUUCAAUUAUUGGAUACACUGGAUGUAAGUAAAACAAAGAUAGAGAUUCUGCCAACGCAAGUCAUGGAGCUGCCACGUCUUGUUCAUCUCUUUGGGAAGUUCAAGCUCAAGAAAGAUGUAGGAGACUGGAGAAUGAGUAAGCUACAGAGUUGGUUGUUAGAGAAUAGCAAAUUGGAAACACUGGCAGGAUUUGUUGUGGACAACAGCAAGAGCCAAGAUUUUGCACAGCUCAUGGAUAAUAUGAAGGCUUUGACAAAGGUGAAAAUAUGGUGCGAGGCUACCGCCGACACCAGCAGCUCAAGUCAUCUCUCAAAGGCCAUCAAGGGGAUCAUUGAGAGAAGCACCCUGUUCAUAGGGACCCCUUCACUAUCACUCAAUUUUGAAGGUGAGUUGACCCAAGACAUGCUGAAUUUCUCUCUGGAGAAAGGAAAACAUUCAUGCUCCCUCAAGCUGCAAGGAAGCAAGAUAUGCAGCCUGCCCCCCUUUGUUGCCUUGCUGGGUCGUCUCACUAAGCUAGGUCUUUCAUCCCCUCAGCUGAGCCUGAGCCAAGACUUCCUUGCUGCCCUGAGCAAAGUGCCCGGCCUGGCGUACCUGAAGCUGGUUGCAACUAGACUGGACAAGCUUGUCAUCAUAAAAGGUAUGCUGAAGAGCCUGGGACGCCUAUCCAUUGUGGUCGACUCCACCAUGGAUCAGCUGGAAAUCAAAGAGGGAGCUCUACCAUGCCUCAAGUCACUGCAGCUGCUAUGCAAAGAUCUGUCUGGCUCUAUUUCCGGCACGUCAGCGGUCCAGUCCCUUGGACAUCUUAAGGAGAUUGUUCUCCAUCGUGAAGUGGGAGACGAAACAAAAAAUGAGUGGGAAGAAGCAGCAAAGAACCUCCCAAGUCCACGUCCCAAGAUCUUGUUUCUGUAG